GGCCAGAGUCCGGGUCCAGGCCGCGGAUCUGACCCCCGAACUCGCAGCGCGGCCGCAGCAGGCGCCGGCGUCCGGGAAGGUAUUCCUUCACUGCAGCAGUGGUACGCGCUGCCCUUCCAGACCCAGUUCCCCGCGGAGCUGGAGAACCGGAUUGAUGGGCAGCAGUUUGAAGAGACAGUUCCAACUCUAAAUAACCUUUAUGCAGAAGCCCAGAAGCUUGGGGACCCAUCGUAUCUCGAAGGCUGUUUGGCUUGUUUAACAGCAUAUACCGUUUUCUUAUGUAUGGAAACUCAUUAUGAGAAGGUUCUGAAGAAAGUCUCCAAGUAUAUUCAAGAACAGAAUGAGAAGAUGCAUGCUCCCCAAGGUCUCCUCCUGACAGACCCUGUUGAGAGAGGACUUCGAGUUAUUGAAAUUACCAUUUAUGAAGACAGAGGCAUGAGCAGUGGAAGAUUAACCAUAAAAUUAAAGAUCCCACAUCCAGCUGGGACCCUCAUCUACCCACUGGCUGAUCACAGAGUGUCCCUACCUCCUCUCCAGAGCAUCAUUCCUUUGCAUCUGCUGCCAGAGCCACGGUGCCAUUUACUCCAAGGACUAACUUUCUAAAAUUCCACACCUGGAGUGACCUCUAGUCGCUCAGCAUCCACUUUGUGUCUUUAAAUUGUGUAGGAUUCUGUAAUCUUUGGAUUUGUUUCUGAGAAAACACAAUGAAGCAUUUCACAUUUUUUUAUUCAAAGUGAUUAUAAAAUAUGCAAUUGGUCAGCCCAAUGCAAAGUUUUACUUAUUUCUUACUUGCCACCAGUACCAUGAAAUCUGUUCAUUCCUUGGGGCAAUUUUCCAGGUGGCUUUAGACUUCAACGAGUUUGUAUUAGUGAAUGUUCAGUCUUAUUCCCCCAAAUUAAUAAAUGGCUUUUUUCCAGGUGAGGGAUAGACUGUGUCUGUGGUUAUGCUGAUGCAUUUCCCAGAUUUCAAAGAACUGCCAGUUUUUCCAUGAUUCAAAUCUUGAGACUGAUUUCUGUUGUUCAGUUUUCAAACAGAAACUCAUUGAAAAAAUACUGUAUAAUGUUAUUUGUUUUACUAUAGCAGUUAUAUCUAAUUAAAGCAGUAUUGAAUGCAAUUUCCAGUUAUUUUAUUUGGAGCCUUUUAUGUUAUUAUUGCAUUACCUUGAAUGUUGGAAAGAUGUGGUAUGUGUUGCUUGUUCAUUACACAAAUAAGUAAGCACAAUAAAGUGGAUGCUAAACCAUCAAAAAAAAUGAAAUAAAGAUAUUACUUAAAAAAAACCAAUGAAAAAGUACUGAGCAACAAUUGUUGGCAAAAGUACUAUGUUAAAUUAAAAACUUCUGUUCAUCAAAAGUCAUGCUUAAUUGGGCUGAGGCUGUGGCUCAAUGAUGUUUGCCCCACAUUGCCGGCCCUGGCUUCCAUCCCAGCACCCAGCACAAAGAAGGUGGAACAGAAGACACUGCAAACCCACACAGGCACAGAGUGGUAUGGGCGUACCACAGAAGCACGUCCGCACAGCAGCAGUGAUGAAGUUUGACCCUCACAGUAACUUGAUGGCGUUGCAGAGACAGAUGCCCCAAGGAGGCCACAGAGCCCCUGCCCUGUGAUUGGGGGAUGUGUCGGCACACUGCUUGGGGACUCCCUGGGCAGAACCUUCUACAGCCCACCCAGGGCUCCUGAAAAAGCUCCAGAAUGUUCACAGCAGUCAUGGCUGCACAGCCGCCAGCCGGGACGCCUCACCCACAGGCAGACAGCCAC
rnacentral:lncRNA from 1 species